GAAACCAACACUUAGACCCUUUCCAGGGCCUUAAAGGGACCGCGUCUCUUCCUAAAUGGGUGACGCGAAAGUCAGAUGUUGGAAGAUUACAUCUGACCCUUGAGAGAAUGAAAGAGCUAAUAUCCUUCCUGUAGGAGAUAGCUUAAAAAAAAAUUAAAAAAAAGGAAAACGCCAAUAAAACAUGAGUGACAAGCGCCAAGCUUUGCGUUUGUUCAAUAAAUGUUUACUCUAAUGAAGCGAAGGGGUCAUAAUGAAAAAGAUCAAUACUCUGGCCCAUUUUCCCAGAAAUGGUCUUCCUACCCCACUUCACCCACCUCAAUACAUGCCUCUGCCUCCUAAAAUCCAAAGGAAGGAAGCUAAAGUCACAGCGUUUAAUUCCAGAAAGUGCAAGAAAUCUUUGGAGUACUCCUUAUUCCUGUAUUGAAGUCCUGGAGAUGUAAGGGAGUUCACAGAAGGCAAGAGGAAUCCAUAUACAAGCAGGAAUAUAGCUAAAAGAUUAUUUGAAUAUGUAUUUGAAUGAAUACUUCCUACAGCUAAGAAUCAAUAUAAAGGCAUAUCUAUUAACAAAGAUUUAUCAAGCACCCACUACGUGUCAGACGCUGCAGGAGGCAAUUUACAUUACUCAUCCUAACAAGCAUGUUCCAAAGCAGAAAUGACUGUUCUCUCCAUUUUAUAGACGAGGAAACCAAAGUUAACGCCCUAUGGAGAGGAUAUUUCCUGUUACAGCUGAAGCGUGAAUUGUCCUUAUGUUCUCUCCCUCCAGACCCUAUUUUCCUGCCUCAGGUAGAGGAAUGGUAUGGGAUUUUACAAAGUAGAGGAUGGAAUCCUGUCGAAGCUCAGAAUUGCACAUCGGAGAUGCCACAGAGGCUAAGGAAGGGCAGUGGGUUGCAGAAAGGGAGGAGUGUUUGGAUCUACAUAUGGAGCAGUUAGACCUGUGGUUCCCACCCAUCCCACCCUUAUAGGAGAAGAGAGUUAUAUAUUCCCUGCAAACAUUAAAGCUGGGAGCGGAAUGUGUAAUGGGGUUGAGACGCAAAGAACACAGCGGAUGGAAUCAAAGUCUGAACACUAAACGUGAAAGCAUCCCCCACACGUCCCUUUCUAGAAUUACCUGACUUUUAAAGGAUUAAAUGCUGACAAAAAUACAAACUAAUCCCUUAGUUUGUUGUGAAACUCUCCAUCAUAAUGAAAUAAAAGAAGCCAUGAAAAUAAACACUGACAUCAGGCGCGGUGGCUCACCCCUGUAAUCCGAGCACUUUGGGAGGCCGAGGCGGGUGGAUCGCCUGAGGUCAGGAGUUCGAGACCAGCCUGACAAAUAUGGUGAAACCCCGUCUCUACUAAAAACACAAAAAUUAGGCGGGCGUGGUGGCGUGUGCCCAGCUACUCAGGAGGGUAAGACAGGAGAAUCAUAUGAACCUGGGAAGUGGAGGUUGCAGUGAGCUGAAAUUGUACUACUGCACUCCAGCCUGGAUGACAGAGUGAAACUCCGUCUCAAAAAAAAAAAGAAAAGAAACACUGACAUUAUGCAUUGUCAUGGGACACUGCGCAGCUCCACACCUAGCUAAAGAAAUGCUUAAUAUUCAAGCUACAGCAUUUGACUAGAAGAAGGAUGUUAGACCAGAA
rnacentral:lncRNA from 10 species